rnacentral:lncRNA from 1 species
CGCCAUUUUCGAGUGAUGCCUGAUCUCAUCAAUCUAGCGGGAGAGACAGGAUAACCUGUCCGAGAGUAUAGCGCCACUAUGACUCCGCCGGAAAAAUUACUUUAAAAAUCGCCAAAAAUUACUUGGAGCAAAGGGCAGUCGGCGGAGCUUCGCCAAGGCUGGCGCAGUCGGGUUUAAUAAUGAUAGAAUGAAGACCACAAUAAAAGAGACCUCUACUUAGCUCAGCAAUUCUUACCUUUCUUACCUAUUUGAUGAAGAUGUCUUUUGAAAGGUGUACUGCAAGGAACAAAAUGUUUGUAAAUUCUCCUUUUACCAAGGUGGAUAAUUACUGUACCUUCCUCAUGGAAAAAGUUUUAUUUAAAGUGUUAUUUCUCAUUGAAUACUAUCAAAAAGGAAAAAAAAAUGACCUAAACUUUUGAGAUAGAUUUGGCUCUAGUAAGUAUUUAGUUAUAUCACUUGCAUAUCUGGGAGAAGAAAUAAGAGACUAUCAUCAGUACAUUCCCAUCUACUAAAAAAAUUUAUUUUACACAUGUCAAGGGAUUACUUAUAACUUCCAUUUUAUUACUAAUAGCUUGAACCCUUUUAAUGAAGACCUAACUCCUCCACCAGAAAUUUAAGUUUAUGUUCUUACUUUGUUUACUUAUAAAAUACAUCUCAGGUAUUUCGGAUGUCUUUUUUUUUUCUAAGCCUAUAUGAAAU